ensembl:misc_RNA Metazoa_SRP Metazoan signal recognition particle RNA
GCCGGGUGUGGUGGUGCACACCUGUGAUCCCAGCUACUCAGGAGACUGAGAUGGGAGGAUCACUUGAGCCCAGUAGGUCAAGGCUGCAGUGAGCCAUGAUGGCACCACUGCACUCCAGCCUGGGCUACAGAGAGAGACCCUGUCUCAA